AUUUGAGUAGCUUAAGUUUAAAGUUUAAUAUUGAAGAUAUUAAUAUAGAAGUUUCUUCUCUCAAAUA
rnacentral:tRNA from 2 species